GUGCCCUUUUAGGGCUGACGCAGGGCCUUAGGAGGCUGAGACAGAAGGGUACAGUAAGUCCCCAUAAAACCCAGAGAAGAGAGGGUAAGACUCCUCUUUGGAUUCUGUCUGGAGUCACAGCU